rnacentral:rRNA from 1 species
CCCAGUGACUAAGUUCAACGGCCGCGGUAUCCUAACCGUGCGAAGGUAGCGUAAUCACUUGUUCUUUAAAUGAGGACUAGUAUGAAUGGCACCACGAGGGUUGUACUGUCUCCUUUUUCUAAUCAAUGAAACUGAUCUCCCCGUGAAGAAGCGGGGAUAUAAAUAUAAGACGAGAAGACCCUAUGGAGCUUUAAAUUUUAUUACACUGACUUAUUAUAAAGCAAAGUUUCAGAACAAUAAAAGCUAUUUUAGUCGGAAUGAUUAUAAAUUUUAGGUUGGGGUGACCGCGGAGAAAAAAUUAUCCUCCACAUUGAACGGAGCUACUCCUGAGCGAAAAACUACAACUUUAAGCACCAAUAAAUUGACAUUAAUUGACCCAAUAUAUUGAUCAACGAACCAAGUUACCCUAGGGAUAACAGCGCAAUCCACCUCAAGAGCCCUUAUCGACAGGUGGGUUUACGACCUCGAUGUUGGAUCAGGGCAUCCUAGUGGUGCAGCCGCUACUAAAGGUUCGUUUGUUCAACGAUUAAAGCCCUACGUGAUCUGAGUUCAGACCGGA